rnacentral:lncRNA from 1 species
AUUUAAGGGGGAGACCCCUUCUCCCUUCUUCCCACCAAGGAAUCCAGAGAGAAACGAUGAGAAUCAUCGAAAUUUGCUCGCGGAAGCCAUCACCGUGCUCACCUUCUCGUCGGAGACAUCACCGGAGCUCGAGGUAAGCUCUGAUUUCUCUUCCUCUCUCCUUCCCUUUCCUUCUCAUGCCAGUGUGCAUGAUCGCCGG